ACGCUGGCGGCGUGCCUAAUACAUGCAAGUAGAACGCUGAAGAGAGGAGCUUGCUCUUCUUGGAUGAGUUGCGAACGGGUGAGUAACGCGUAGGUAACCUGCCUUGUAGCGGGGGAUAACUAUUGGAAACGAUAGCUAAUACCGCAUAACAAUGGAUGACACAUGUCAUUUAUUUGAAAGGGGCAAUUGCUCCACUACAAGAUGGACCUGCGUUGUAUUAGCUAGUAGGUGAGGUAACGGCUCACCUAGGCGACGACACAUAGCCGACCUGAGAGGGUGAUCGGCCACACUGGGACUGAGACACGGCCCAGACUCCUACGGGAGGCAGCAGUAGGGAAUCUUCGGCAAUGGGGGCAACCCUGACCGAGCAACGCCGCGUGAGUGAAGAAGGUUUUCGGAUCGUAAAGCUCUGUUGUAAGUCAAGAACGAGUGUGAGAGUGGAAAGUUCACACUGUGACGGUAGCUUACCAGAAAGGGACGGCUAACUACGUGCCAGCAGCCGCGGUAAUACGUAGGUCCCGAGCGUUGUCCGGAUUUAUUGGGCGUAAAGCGGGCGCAGGCGGUUUGAUAAGUCUGAAGUUAAAGGCUGUGGCUCAACCAUAGUUCGCUUUGGAAACUGUCAAACUUGAGUGCAGAAGGGGAGAGUGGAAUUCCAUGUGUAGCGGUGAAAUGCGUAGAUAUAUGGAGGAACACCGGUGGCGAAAGCGGCUCUCUGGUCUGUAACUGACGCUGAGGCUCGAAAGCGUGGGGAGCGAACAGGAUUAGAUACCCUGGUAGUCCACGCCGUAAACGAUGAGUGCUAGGUGUUGUAUCCUUUCCGGGAUUCAGUGCCGCAGCUAACGCAUUAAGCACUCCGCCUGGGGAGUACGACCGCAAGGUUGAAACUCAAAGGAAUUGACGGGGGCCCGC
rnacentral:rRNA from 1 species